GUACCGUGAGGGAAAGGCGAAAAGAACCCCGGCGAGGGGAGUGAAAAAGAACCUGAAACCGUGUACGUACAAGCAGUGGGAGCACCCUUUGGGGUGUGACUGCGUACCUUUUGUAUAAUGGGUCAGCGACUUAUAUUCUGUAGCAAGGUUAACCGAAUAGGGGAGCCGGAGGGAAACCGAGUCUUAAUUGGGCGUUAAGUUGCAGGGUAUAGACCCGAAACCCGGUGAUCUAGCCAUGGGCAGGUUGAAGGUUGGGUAACACUAACUGGAGGACCGAACCGACUAAUGUUGAAAAAUUAGCGGAUGACCUGUGGCUGGGGGUGAAAGGCCAAUCAAACCGGGAGAUAGCUGGUUCUCCCCGAAAGCUAUUUAGGUAGCGCCUCGUGAAUUCAUCUCCGGGGGUAGAGCACUGUUUCGGCUAGGGGGCCAUCCCGGCUUACCAACCCGAUGCAAACUGCGAAUACCGGAGAAUGUUAUCACGGGAGACACACGGCGGGUGCUAACGUCCGUCGUGAAGAGGGAAACAACCCAGACCGCCAGCUAAGGUCCCAAAGUCAUGGUUAAGUGGGAAACGAUGUGGGAAGGCCCAGACAGCCAGGAUGUUGGCUUAGAAGCAGCCAUCAUUUAAAGAAAGCGUAAUAGCUCACUGGUCGAGUCGGCCUGCGCGGAAGAUGUAACGGGGCUAAACCAUGCACCGAAGCUGCGGCAGCGAACGUAUCACUUAAAGCGAUUCAGCGGGUUACGAUUGACGGAGCGAAGCGACGUCAAAGCGUAUACAAAGUCGAGUCGGUUUAAGGAUACGUUCGUUGGG
rnacentral:rRNA from 1 species